UCUUUCACUCCAAGGUUUCUUCGUGGUAAGAAUGAAGAGCAUUGUCUAGGUGACACUGCAGAGAUGAAGUGUUCUCCAGGUUUCUUGGCUAUGGUACUCUUAAUGCUUGGACAAACCCAGGGAAACUCAGUGACCCAGACAGAAGGCCAAGUGACCCUCUCAGAAAAGGCUUCUCUGACUAUAAAUUGUACCUAUUCAACGACGGGGUCCCCAACUCUUUUCUGGGGUGAGAGGGCUGGAGGUGGAGCAGAGCCCUUCAACCCUGAGCCCCCGGGAGGGAGCCGGUGCUGCUCUGAAGUGCAAUUUUUCCCAAACUGUGCGCAGUGUGCAGUGGUUCCGACAGAACCCCGGGGGCGGCGGC